rnacentral:rRNA from 1 species
AGAGUUUGAUCCUGGCUCAGGAUGAACGCUAGCGGCAGGCUUAAUACAUGCAAGUCGUGGGGCAGCAGGACUGUAGCAAUACAGUUGCUGGCGACCGGCAAACGGGUGCGGAACACGUACGCAAUCUACCCUUAACUGGAGAAUAGCCCCGGGGAAACCCGGAUUAAUACUCCGUAACAUUAUGAAGUGGCAUCACUUUAUAAUUAUAGCUCCGGCGGUUUAGGAUGAGCGUGCGGCUGAUUAGGUAGUUGGCGGGGUAACGGCCCACCAAGCCUACGAUCAGUAACUGGUGUGAGAGCACGACCAGUCACACGGGCACUGAGACACGGGCCCGACUCCUACGGGAGGCAGCAGUAAGGAAUAUUGGGCAAUGGACGCAAGUCUGACCCAGCCAUGCCGCGUGGAGGAUGAAGGCCCUCUGGGUUGUAAACUUCUUUUAUCUGGGACGAAACCCUCAUAUUCUUAUGAGAUUGACGGUACCAGAGGAAUAAGCACCGGCUAACUCCGUGCCAGCAGCCGCGGUAAUACGGAGGGUGCAAGCGUUAUCCGGAUUCACUGGGUUUAAAGGGUGCGUAGGCGGAUUGGUAAGUCCGUGGUGAAAUCUCCAAGCUUAACUUGGAAACUGCCAUGGAUACUAUUGAUCUUGAAUAUUGUGGAGGUAAGCGGAAUAUGUCAUGUAGCGGUGAAAUGCUUAGAUAUGACAUAGAACACCAAUUGCGAAGGCAGCUUACUACGCAGUUAUUGACGCUGAGGCACGAAAGCGUGGGGAGCAAACAGGAUUAGAUACCCUAGUAGUCC